AAAUAAUUUUCCUUAAGUUUGUGAGUUGGCAGCAUGCACCAGGAAAAAUGCCUCUCGCUGCUGAGCGCGGUGGAGGAAGCCAUCGAGCUGAACAAGGCGGAGGCGGCGAGGAUCAGCGAGAGCGUCCUGCAGCUCCGGGAGAUCCUCCGCUCCAUGAAAGCGCAGCCGAUCAGUGCCCCAGA